GACGAACGCUGGCGGCGUGCUUAACACAUGCAAGUCGAACGAUGAAGCCGGAGCUUGCUCUGGUGAAUUAGUGGCGAACGGGUGAGUAACACGUGAGUAACCUGCCCUUGACUCUGGGAUAACUGCGGGAAACUGUAGCUAAUACCGGAUACGACCCUCGGAGGCAUCUCCUGGGGGUGGAAAGAAUUUCGGUCAAGGAUGGACUCGCGGCCUAGCAGCUAGUUGGUGAGGUAAAGGUUCACAAAGGCGACGACGGGUAGCCGGCCUGAGAGGGUGAGCGGGCACACUGGGACUGAGACACGGCCCAGACGCCUACGGGGGGCAGCAGUUGGGAGUAUUGCACAAUGGGCGCAAGCCUGAUGCAGCAACGCCGCGUGAGGGAUGAGGGCCUUCGGGUUGUAAACCUCUUUGAGCAGGGAAGAAGCGAAAGUGACGGUACCUGCAGAAAAAGCACCGGCUAACUACUUGCCAGCAGCCGCCGUAA
rnacentral:rRNA from 1 species